rnacentral:tRNA from 1 species
GGGAUUGUAGCUCAGUUGGUAGAAUGCUUGCCUACUCUGCAUGAAGCCUUGGUUUGAUUCCCAGUCCCA